CUGAUACGGCGAGUCGGAAACGGUGCUACCACCAACACAUGGACAGAUAAUUGGCUCCCAAGGAAAGAGAUGCUCCGGCCCUAUGGGUGCAUUUCGGCGAACCCACCGCAUCUUGUGUCAGAAUUGAUAGAUCCAACUUCAACGAGCUGGAUCAAGCAAAGGGUGAAUGAGGUCUUCAUGCCAAUGGACGCAAAUAUCAUAUUGGGCAUUCCGCUCUGUACUCGCAACAUAGACGACUUCUGGUCGUGGAACUUUGAGACCAAAGGCACUUUUUCAGUUAAAUCAGCGUACAAAAUGCUCUCAGAAACUAAACAGCGCCGGGAGGCAUGGCUUAAUGGGGCACCAGGAACGUCAUCGUCGCAGUCAGAGGAAGGGAUGUGGAAAAAACUGUGGAAAACUGAAGUUCCUGGUAAAGUCCGGAUGUUUCUUUGGAGAUUGUCAAAACACUCCCUCCCCACGGAGGAUGUGCGAGCCCGCCGCCAUAUGACAACGUCUAGCAGCUGCGGGCUAUGU
rnacentral:rRNA from 1 species